rnacentral:rRNA from 1 species
GAUGAACGCUAGCUACAGGCUUAACACAUGCAAGUCGCGGGGCAGCAUGGGGGUUGCUUGCAAUCCCCGAUGGCGACCGGCGCACGGGUGAGUAACGCGUAUCCAACCUGCCCUUCACCACGGGAUAACCCGGCGAAAGUCGGACUAAUACCGUAUGCUGUCCAUUGACGGCAUCCGAUUUGGACGAAAGGUUUGGCGGUGAAGGAUGGGGAUGCGUCCGAUUAGCUGGACGGCGGGGUGACGGCCCACCGUGGCGACGAUCGGUAGGGGUUCUGAGAGGAAGGUCCCCCACACUGGAACUGAGACACGGUCCAGACUCCUACGGGAGGCAGCAGUGAGGAAUAUUGGUCAAUGGGCGUAAGCCUGAACCAGCCAAGUAGCGUGCAGGAUGACGGCCCUAUGGGUUGUAAACUGCUUUUAUGCGGGGAUAAAGUGGCCCACGUGUGGGUUUUUGCAGGUACCGAAUGAAUAAGGACCGGCUAAUUCCGUG